GAGUAGCGAUACACACGUGAGAAACGUGUGCGCCGAUUGACUAAGGGUUCCUGGGUCAAGCUGAUCUGCCCAGGGUAAGUCGGGACCUAAGGCGAGGCCGACAGGCGUAGUCGAUGGAUAACCGGUUGAUAUUCCGGUACCCGCUGUGAAGCGUCAAACAUUGAAUCAGGCGAUGCUAAGUCCGUGAAGCCGUUCCGGACCCUUCGGGGAAAGGAAAGUGGUGGAGCCGACGGACCAGACUUGUAGUAGGUGAGUGAUGGGGUGACGCAGGAAGGUAGUCCAGCCCGGGCGGUGGUUGUCCCGGGGUAAGGGUGUAGGCCGUGCGAUAGGUAAAUCCGUCGCACAUUAAGGCUGAGACCUGAUGCCGAGCCGAUUGUGGUGAAGUGGAUGAUCCUAUGCUGUCGAGAAAAGCCUCUAGCGAGUUUCAUGGCGGCCCGUACCCUAAACCGACUCAGGUGGUCAGGUAGAGAAUACCGAGGCGUUCGGGUGAACUAUGGUUAAGGAACUCGGCAAAAUGCCCCCGUAACUUCGGGAGAAGGGGGGCCAUCACUGGUGAGAGGACUUGCUCCUCGAGCUGGGGGUGGCCGCAGAGACCAGCGAGAAGCGACUGUUUACUAAAAACACAGGUCCGUGCGAAGCCGUAAGGCGAUGUAUACGGACUGACGCCUGCCCGGUGCUGGAACGUUAAGGGGACCGGUUAGUGCACUUUCGGGUGUGCGAAGCUGAGAACUUAAGCGCCAGUAAACGGCGGUGGUAACUAUAACCAUCCUAAGGUAGCGAAAUUCCUUGUCGGGUAAGUUCCGACCUGCACGAAUGGCGUAACGACUUCUCGACUGUCUCAACCAUAGGCCCGGUGAAAUUGCACUACGAGUAAAGAUGCUCGUUUCGCGCAGCAGGACGGAAAGACCCCGGGACCUUUACUACAGUUUGAUAUUGGUGUUCGGUUCGGCUUGUGUAGGAUAGGUGGGAGACUUUGAACUCUGGACGCCAGUUCAGGGGAGUCGUCGUUGAAAUACCACUCUGGUCGUGCUGGAUGUCUAACCUGGGUCCGUGAUCCGGAUCAGGGACAGUGUCUGAUGGGUAGUUUAACUGGGGCGGUUGCCUCCUAAAGAGUAACGGAGGCGCCCAAAGGUUCCCUCAGCCUGGUUGGUAAUCAGGUGUUGAGUGUAAGUGCACAAGGGAGCUUGACUGUGAGACCGACGGGUCGAGCAGGGACGAAAGUCGGGACUAGUGAUCCGGCGGUGGCUUGUGGAAGCGCCGUCGCUCAACGGAUAAAAGGUACCCGGGGAUAACAGGCUGAUCUUCCCCAAGAGUCCAUAUCGACGGGAUGGUUUGGCACCUCGAUGUCGGCUCGUCGCAUCCUGGGGCUGGAGUCGGUCCCAAGGGUUGGGCUGUUCGCCCAUUAAAGCGGUACGCGAGCUGGGUUUAGAACGUCGUGAGACAGUUCGGUCCCUAUCCGCUGUGCGCGUAGGAAUAUUGAGAAGGGCUGUCCCUAGUACGAGAGGACCGGGACGGACGAACCUCUGGUGUGCCAGUUGUCCUGCCAAGGGCAUGGCUGGUUGGCUACGUUCGGAAAGGAUAACCGCUGAAAGCAUCUAAGCGGGAAGCCUGCUUCGAGAUGAGUAUUCCCACCCCCUUGAGGGGUUAAGGCUCCCAGUAGACGACUGGGUUGAUAGGCCAGAUCUGGAAGCCCGGUAACGGGUGGAGGUGACUGGUACUAAUAGGCCGAGGGCUUGUCCUCAGUUG
rnacentral:rRNA from 1 species